GGUAUCGCCAAGCGGUAAGGCAUUGGACUCUGACUCCAACAGUCGGUGGUUCGAAUCCAUCUACC
rnacentral:tRNA from 1 species